AAAAAAAGCAAAAUGUAGAACCUUCAUUAUGGGUCAAGACCUAGAAAUGAUAUGUGCAUACAGAAAUUCAUUCCACGUGUCGGGUAAUCCUGAUUGAGGUGUGUGCAUCUUUUCGGUACUCUGAAAGAGUGGUUAUGUUGAGAAAAUGAACUGGAAAUUGCAUUGUUUUCAUCACAUUGGUUGCAACUGUAAAGAGUCGUCGGUCUGUGCCCACGUUUAGUGGCAUGGACAUAUUCAGGAUCGGACUUGUUUCUUUGGCACAUUUGAUGCCGUUAGGGUUGUUCCAGUCCAAGCUUCUACGGAAUUUCAACAAUAAUUUAUAAACAAGGUUACUAUACAAAUAUAUAAUUGCAACAUUGAGAAGAAUCUUGGGAGAUAAGAUCAUGAUUUGUGUUUCGCAAGACAGUCAAGACUCAAGAUCAUGUUAUAAGAAAAUCUGUUUAGUAUGUAAAUAAAUCUGGAAACAUAAAGUUAAUAUAUAUUAUUAGGCAUUUGGUUGUUAAAA